GGGAUUCUAAGGUAGUUGGAUGUGAAUUAGUGGGGAGUUAGGAUAUUAGUGGGAUUUUAAAAUAGAUUUUAUUUUACUUCUAUUUUUUAUUUUUAUUUUUUCCCAAAAUUUCCCUCAUCUCUUUUGAUUUUUUUCUAUGACUGGGAGAAUUCUUUCUUUUUCCUUGCUUCUGAAAUUCUGUCAAAAUCCUAUCAAUUAAUCUCGAUUUUUUAGUUCUUCAGUGUUCUUUGUGCGUUUC
rnacentral:lncRNA from 1 species